AGUCAAGUAAUUAAGUGCAUGUGGUGGAUGCCUUGGCAGUCAGAGGCGAUGAAAGACGUGAUAGCCUGCGAAAAGCUCCGGGGAGGCGGCAAAUAUCCUUUGAUCCGGAGAUGUCUGAAUGGGGGAACCCACCUACUUUAAGGUAGGUAUUGCAACAUGAAUACAUAGUGUUGCAAGGCGAACGAGGGGAAGUGAAACAUCUCAGUACCCUUAGGAAAAGAAAUCAAUUGAGAUUCCCUCAGUAGCGGCGAGCGAACGGGGAUCAGCCCAUUAAGUUAUGUGUGUUUUAGUGGAACGCUCUGGGAAGUGCGAACGUAGAGGGUGAUAUUCCCGUACACGAAAGGGCACACAUAAUGAUGACGAGUAGGGCGAGGCACGUGAAACCUUGUCUGAAUAUGGGGGGACCAUCCUCCAAGGCUAAAUACUCCUGACUGACCGAUAGUGAACCAGUACCGUGAGGGAAAGGCGAAAAGAACCCCUGUGAGGGGAGUGAAAUAGAUCCUGAAACCGCAUGCAUACAAGCAGUGGGAGCACCUUCGUGGUGUGACUGCGUACCUUUUGUAUAAUGGGUCAGCGACUUAUAUUCAGUAGCGAGGUUAACCGUAUAGGGGAGCCGUAGAGAAAUCGAGUCUUAAUAGGGCGUUUAGUUGCUGGGUAUAGACCCGAAACCAGGCGAUCUAUCCAUGAGCAGGUUGAAGGUUGGGUAACACUAACUGGAGGACCGAACCCACUGUCGUUGAAAAGCCAGGGGAUGACUUGUGGAUAGGGGUGAAAGGCUAAUCAAGCCUGGUGAUAGCUGGUUCUCCCCGAAAGCUAUUUAGGUAGCGCCUCGGACGAAUACCAUAGGGGGUAGAGCACUGUUUCGGCUAGGGGGUCAUCCCGACUUACCAAACCGAUGCAAACUCCGAAUACCUAUGAGUACUAUCCGGGAGACAGACUGCGGGUGCUAACGUCCGUAGUCAAGAGGAAAACAAUCCAGACCGCCAGCUAAGGCCCCAAAAUCAUAGUUAAGUGGGAAACGAUGUGGGAAGGCAUAGACAGCUAGGAGGUUGGCUUAGAAGCAGCCACCCUUUAAAGAAAGCGUAAUAGCUCACUAGUCGAGUCGGCCUGCGCGGAAGAUGUAACGGGGCUAAAACUAUGUGCCGAAGCUGCGGAUGUAUACUUUGUAUACGUGGUAGGGGAGCGUUCUGUAAGCCGAUGAAGGUGUGUUGAGAAGCAUGCUGGAGGUAUCAGAAGUGCGAAUGCUGACGUGAGUAACGACAAAACGGGUGAAAAACCCGUUCGCCGAAAGACCAAGGGUUCCAGUCCAACGUUAAUCGGGGCUGGGUGAGUCGACCCCUAAGGCGAGGCCGAAAGGCGUAGUCGAUGGGAAAAUGGUUAAUAUUCCAUUACUUCUGUGUAAUGCGAUGAGAGGACGGAGAAGGCUAAAUCAGCCUGGCGUUGGUUGUCCAGGUGAAAGGAUGUAGGCAUGUAUCUUAGGCAAAUCCGGGGUACUCUAUGCUGAGAUCUGAUAGCAAGCUGUACUUGUACAGCGAAGUGGUUGAUGCCAUGCUUCCAGGAAAAGUCUCUAAGCUUCAGUUACACAGGAAUCGUACCCGAAACCGACACAGGUGGUCAGGUCGAGUAGACCAAGGCGCUUGAGAGAACUCUGCUGAAGGAACUAGGCAAAAUGGUACCGUAACUUCGGGAGAAGGUACGCUGUUGUUGGUGAUGGAACUCGCUUCCUGAGCUGACGACAGCCGCAGAAACCAGGCCGCUGCAACUGUUUAUUAAAAACAUAGCACUCUGCAAACACGAAAGUGGACGUAUAGGGUGUGAUGCCUGCCCGGUGCUGGAAGGUUAAUUGAUGGGGUUAGCGUAAGCGAAGCUCUUGAUCGAAGCCCCAGUAAACGGCGGCCGUAACUAUAACGGUCCUAAGGUAGCGAAAUUCCUUGUCGGGUAAGUUCCGACCUGCACGAAUGGCAUAAUGAUGGCGGCGCUGUCUCCAGCAGAGGCUCAGUGAAAUCGAAAUCGCUGUGAAGAUGCAGUGUACCCGCGGCUAGACGGAAAGACCCCGUGAACCUUUACUGCAGCUUGACACUGAACUUUGACCUUACUUGUGUAGGAUAGGUGGGAGGCUUUGAAGCUGGAACGCUAGUUCCAGUGGAGCCGUCCUUGAAAUACCACCCUGGUAAUGUUGAGGUUCUAACUCUGUCCCGUGAUCCGGGACGAGGACCGUGUCUGGUGGGUAGUUUGACUGGGGCGGUCUCCUCCUAAAGAGUAACGGAGGAGUACGAAGGUGCGCUCAGCGUGGUCGGAAAUCACGCGUAGAGUAUAAAGGCAAAAGCGCGCUUAACUGCGAGACCCACAAGUCGAGCAGGUACGAAAGUAGGUCUUAGUGAUCCGGUGGUUCUGUAUGGAAGGGCCAUCGCUCAACGGAUAAAAGGUACUCUGGGGAUAACAGGCUGAUACCGCCCAAGAGUUCAUAUCGACGGCGGUGUUUGGCACCUCGAUGUCGGCUCAUCUCAUCCUGGGGCUGAAGCAGGUCCCAAGGGUAUGGCUGUUCGCCAUUUAAAGAGGUACGCGAGCUGGGUUUAGAACGUCGUGAGACAGUUCGGUCCCUAUCUACCGUGGGCGCUGGAAAUUUGAGAGGAUCUGCUCCUAGUACGAGAGGACCAGAGUGGACGAACCUCUGGUGUACCGGUUGUGACGCCAGUCGCAUCGCCGGGUAGCUAUGUUCGGAAGGGAUAACCGCUGAAAGCAUCUAAGCGGGAAGCCUACCUCAAAUAAGAUUUCCCUAGGACUUUAUGUCCUCUAAAGAGCCGUUCGAGACUAGGACGUUGAUAGGUUGGAUGUGGAAGCAUAGUGAUAUGUGAAGCUGACCAAUACUAAUUGCUCGUGAGGCUUGACUAU
rnacentral:rRNA from 1 species